GGGUCGCUAGCUCAAUUGGCAGAGCUCCGGACUUUUAAUCCGUAGGUUGUGGGUUCGAGUCCCACGCGACCCA
rfam:Actinomadura sp. CNT-125 NODE_113_length_27384_cov_106.209_ID_11019, whole genome shotgun sequence.